ACGGGUGAGUAACACGUGAGCAACCUGCCCUGGACUCUGGGAUAAGCGCUGGAAACGGUGUCUAAUACUGGAUAUGAGAUGUGAUCGCAUGGUCAUGUUUGGAAAGAUUUUUCGGUCUGGGAUGGGCUCGCGGCCUAUCAGCUUGUUGGUGAGGUAAUGGCUCACCAAGGCGUCGACGGGUAGCCGGCCUGAGAGGGUGACCGGCCACACUGGGACUGAGACACGGCCCAGACUCCUACGGGAGGCAGCAGUGGGGAAUAUUGCACAAUGGGCGGAAGCCUGAUGCAGCAACGCCGCGUGAGGGAUGACGGCCUUCGGGUUGUAAACCUCUUUUAGCAGGGAAGAAGCGUAAGUGACGGUACCUGCAGAAAAAGCGCCGGCUAACUACGUGCCAGCAGCCGCGGUAAUACGUAGGGCGCAAGCGUUAUCCGGAAUUAUUGGGCGUAAAGAGCUCGUAGGCGGUUUGUCGCGUCUGCUGUGAAAUCCCGAGGCUCAACCUCGGGUCUGCAGUGGGUACGGGCAGACUAGAGUGCGGUAGGGGAGAUUGGAAUUCCUGGUGUAGCGGUGGAAUGCGCAGA
rnacentral:rRNA from 1 species